UGGGGAAUAUUGCACAAUGGUCGCAAGCCUGAUGCAGCCAUGCCGCGUGUAUGAAGAAGGCCUUCGGGUUGUAAAGUACUUUCAGCGGGGAGGAAGGGAGUAAAGUUAAUACCUUUGCUCAUUGACGUUACCCGCAGAAGAAGCACCGGCUAACUCCGUGCCAGCAGCCGCGGUAAUACGGAGGGUGCAAGCGUUAAUCGGAAUUACUGGGCGUAAAGCGCACGCAGGCGGUCUGUCAAGUCGGAUGUGAAAUCCCCGGGCUCAACCUGGGAACUGCAUUCGAAACUGGCAGGCUAGAGUCUUGUAGAGGGGGGUAGAAUUCCAGGUGUAGCGGUGAAAUGCGUAGAGAUCUGGAGGAAUACCGGUGGCGAAGGCGGCCCCCUGGACAAAGACUGACGCUCAGGUGCGAAAGCGUGGGGAGCAAACAGG
rnacentral:rRNA from 1 species